UCUGGGACAAGCCCUGGAAACGGGGUCUAAUACCGGAUAACACCGGCUUCCGCAUGGGAGCUGGUUGAAAGCUCCGGCGGUGAAGGAUGAGCCCGCGGCCUAUCAGCUUGUUGGUGGGGUAAUGGCCCACCAAGGCGACGACGGGUAGCCGGCCUGAGAGGGCGACCGGCCACACUGGGACUGAGACACGGCCCAGACUCCUACGGGAGGCAGCAGUGGGGAAUAUUGCACAAUGGGCGAAAGCCUGAUGCAGCGACGCCGCGUGAGGGAUGACGGCCUUCGGGUUGUAAACCUCUUUCAGCAGGGAAGAAGCGAAAGUGACGGUACCUGCAGAAGAAGCGCCGGCUAACUACGUGCCAGCAGCCGCGGUAAUACGUAGGGCGCAAGCGUUGUCCGGAAUUAUUGGGCGUAAAGAGCUCGUAGGCGGCUUGUCACGUCGGGUGUGAAAGCCCGGGGCUUAACCCCGGGUCUGCAUCCGAUACGGGCAGGCUAGAGUGUGGUAGGGGAGAUCGGAAUUCCUGGUGUAGCGGUGAAAUGCGCAGAUAUCAGGAGGAACACCGGUGGCGAAGGCGGAUCUCUGGGCCAUUACUGACGCUGAGGAGCGAAAGCGUGGGGAGCGAACAGGAUUAGAUACCCUGGUAGUCCACGCCGUAAACGUUGGGAACUAGGUGUUGGCGACAUUCCACGUCGUCGGUGCCGCAGCUAACGCAUUAAGUUCCCCGCCUGG
rnacentral:rRNA from 1 species